UUAGAGUUUGAUCAUGGCUCAGGACGAACGCUGGCGGCGUGCCUAACACAUGCAAGUCGAACGGGGCCGGGGGCAACUCCGGUUCAGUGGCGGACGGGUGCGUAACACGUGAGGAACAUAUCUUUCGGCGGGGGAUAGCCGGCCCAACGGCCGGGUAAUACCGCGUACGACCUUUCGGGGACAUCCCCGGCUGGUGAAAGCAGCAAUGCACCGAAAGAGUGCCUCGCGGCCUAUCAGCUAGUUGGUGAGGUAACGGCUCACCAAGGCAACGACGGGUAGCUGGUCUGAGAGGAUGGCCAGCCACAUUGGGACUGAGACACGGCCCAGACUCCUACGGGAGGCAGCAGUGGGGAAUAUUGCGCAAUGGGCGAAAGCCUGACGCAGCGACGCCGCGUGGGGGAUGACGGCCUUCGGGUUGUAAACCUCUUUCAGCAGGGACGAAGCGAGAGUGACGGUACCUGCAGAAGAAGCACCGGCCAACUACGUGCCAGCAGCCGCGGUACGCC
rnacentral:rRNA from 1 species